rnacentral:rRNA from 1 species
CGCGUAGGCGGUCUCUUAAGUCAGAUGUGAAAGCCCGGGGCUUAACCUCGGAAGUGCAUUUGAAACUAAGGGACUUGAGUAUGGGAGAGGGAAGUGGAAUUCCUGGUGUAGCGGUGAAAUGCGUAGAUAUCAGGAGGAACACCGGUGGCGAAGGCGACUUCCUGGACCAAUACUGACGCUGAGGCGCGAAGGCGUGGGGAGCAAACAGGAUUAGAUACCCUGGUAGUC